CCUGCACAUCCAGGGCAGUGCUUGUAGCACUUCUCAUUGCCCAAGACUGGAAACAUUCUAUGGGCUGUCUGUAAAGAAUGUCAGCUACGUUGUCUGGGCUCACCUCUCAAGAAGGCAUCAUCCCCCUGGUUGUCUGAACUGGAAUUCUCUAUGAACUCUCUGUUACAUCCCAAACAAUACGCCAGUGGAAUCUUAAGAAAUCAUGUUUUCAUUCUAAGUAAUUCAAUGCUUGGCAGCACUCUGAAAAACGAAUUCUACCUCCCCUACUGCGGUGAAGGACUGAUUAUUUGUUUACACAAGAUGAAAGAGUC